rnacentral:lncRNA from 1 species
UGGAGUCAAGCUUUCCUUCUUUCUUCCUCACUUCAUCUCCAAGUUGGCACAUAUCUAAAGCCUAAAAUAUUUCAUAAAAUAUAUAAAUUUGUACAACUUGCACUAAAGAGAUCAGUUAUUAAAUAUUGUCAAACAAAACCAAUUUACCUCCCAAAUCUGUUCGUCUGUGUACUCUUCAAGUGGGUCUAGGUUGCUUCUUACUGUCCCUUGAAACAUUGUUGGAUCCUGAGGAAUUAUGCUUAAUCUUGACCUUAAAUCAUGGAUUCCAAUCAAUGAGAUGUUGAUCUUAUCUAUCAAUAUUUGUCCUGCAACAGGUUCAACAAGUCGGAAAAGUGUUUGCACUAGUGUUGAUUUUCCACUUCCGGUUCUUCCAACAAUGCCAGUUUUUGCUCCAGCAGUAAAAGUGCAUGUUAGUCCACGUAAAACAAGAGGCAAGUGAGGAGCAUAUUGAACCUGCAUCACACAAUGCCUUAUUUAAAGAUAGAUACAAUCUAAAAUAUAUACUACGAUAGACGCUCAGGUCCUCUUAUAGCAUAAGCGUUUAUCAUUUAAGUGCUUAUGUAUAAUCUUAACAUAUAUAUGGCAUUAAAUAAUUUUAAAUUAGUGCAAAAGUUUACAUAUAUAAUCUUCUAUAUGAUGGUAACUUUGAAUCAACCAGUAGGUUUUGAUAGAGGUAAAUUGUUAUUGAACGCUGUAGUACCUGUAAAUCCUGAAUACGAACCUCUCCAAAUGACGGCCAAGAAUGAUCUGGUCGGUUUUCUUUUAUUACAAGAGGUGCUUCACUUGGGAUGGAUGUGUACUGAAGUAUUCUUUCUACAGAUAUAAUUUUGUUCUCCAAGUUGCAAAAAAACCGAAUUAAAUCGGAUUGUAUUUCACAUAGGUUAAUCCCAUAUGUCACAGCCAAUCCCGCAAUACCUGGUAAGGAAUGAAAUUUUAUGCCUAAUGUCACGAUGAGCGAGUAUGACUAGUUAAUGUAUGUAAAUUAACAUUGAAAUACUCACUAGCAUUAGUUAUUGAACUUGGAAAAGAUACCAAGAAAACCAAGCAGGACGCAAAUACUGUAAUGGAUAAAAGAUCCAAUCUGNNNNNNNNNNNNNNNNNACCACUGUAUAAUUUAGGUUGCGAAUAUUUGUCUAUCAAUUGCAUAUUCAUUUCAUUAAAUCUUGAUUCUUGCUCAAAACUUCUUAUGGUUGUUGAUCCAGAAAUUGUUUCAGAAAAAUGUUGAAUAACUGGAGCUUGGCAUAUACCAGUUAAUCGUGCCAAUUCGCGUGCUGAUGCAGAGUAGUAUCGCUAAAUAUAAAGCAGACCUUUGUUACUUAGCAAGUUAGAAUACAUAACACUUUUUUUGCACAAUAAUACUAGACAAAUUCAUAUUUUUCCUUUAAGUAAGUGCAUUUAAUUAUUUGAUCAAUGAGAGUAACUUCAUACAUUUAAAGUCAAACACAUUUGAUAGCAUGACUUUAACUUGAAUGUUGUGGAAUGAUAUGUUAGACGUUCCGUAUAAAGUCACGUUUGGAACAUUUACUCUGUCUGAUUAUUUGUCAUUUAUGAUUACCAAUAAAACGUGUAUUACUUUUCCCACAAACUACUAUGUUAACAAAGGUACAUUUGUAAAUGAAGCUAAUUUGAGAAGUGCAUGUAACCUUAAACGACACGUAAUAUGACAUGGGGAGAGUACCUGGUACCAUAUGCUGGCUGCCACGACAGGAAUCAAUACUAUAAUCACCUGCCAUGCAGCUUGAGACAUCACAGCAACAUUUCCAAAGAGCUGAACCACACGGUAGGUAAAUGCCCAUGCUAGAUUUGAAAUGCUCAUAUCUAUUGCACUUUGGUCUGUUGAAGCCUGCAACAAAAAACUAAAAUAAAACAUAGACAUCGACAAACAAUUACGUUCAAUAUGGAGAUUUGGAAGAAAAAAAAUUAUUUUACAGAGAGAAUGAACUGUCAAAAGUGAUGUACUAAGCCAUUAUGAGAUCUAGUUCGUAUGCAAUAAUAAUACUAUGCAGUUUCACACAGUAAUAAAUAGCGAUCAUUAACCCGCUUGGGAUUGGUCUAGUGGUGUUGGCUUGGUCCUUGGAGUAUGCUCCUCUCAAGGUCUCAGAUUCAAUUCCCACUGGUGCCAAUUUCGGUGGGCUAAGUCCAUACAGAGCAAAAGAAAACUCUGUCUUUAAAUGGGGCCCCCGCAAGUGGGCGGUGAGAUUGAUCCCCUUGGAUUAGUCGUUCCUAGGGCCGGAUACCAAGUUUUCAAAACAAAAAAAAAAAAUAGCGAUCAUUUAUUUGAGAUUAGACAGCUUAGAUUAAACGUUCACCAAAUCAAUUUUAAACAAUCAUGACCAUUGAUUUAAAUCACACAGUCGAGAUCAGUAACUAAGUCAUGCAAUUAUUGAAGUAAAUAUGUUUCUACCAUGAUGAGGUAAACACUUGUCUUUUAAAAAAAGGCUUAAUUGCAGUUUUGGUCACCCUAUUUUCACCAUUUUACAAAUUGGUCCCCUAUUUUAAAAUUUGAUAGUUUUAGGCCCUCCAUCGCAUAUUUUGUCUAAAAAUUGAUGAUGUGAUAUAUUUUAAACGGUGACAUAUGAUCUGACGACAAGCAAAUACCAACAUUGAUGAAAUUGUUAAAAAAUUCAGUUAUAAAUUUAAUUUAAAACACGUAGUAUCACCAUAUUUUAGACAAAAUAUUUGAUUGAGGGACUAAAACUGCAAAUUUUAAAAUUGGAGGACCAAUUCUACAAAAUAGUGAAAAUAGAGGACUAAAACUGCAAUUAAGCCUAAAAAAACCGUGAAGAAUGACAUACUCUAUUAAGAAUUCUUCCACUUGGUGUGGAGUCAAAAAAAGACAUCGGUGCUCGAAUAAAGCUGGAAUGCAUUUGAUUGAAGAGCAAGGUGGCAGUCUUGUAUCCAGAUAUAACUGCAAGAACUGUUCUGGCAAGGGUGGCAAAAGAACUUCCAAUUGAUAAAGAAACAUAGACAACCAUAAGAGUAAGGCUUCCAAUAUUUGGUUCUGCAGUUGCUGAAACAGGAGUUGCCAAUGCCAUCCAAUAAUUGCUUGCGAUCUGUAAAACCACAGUGAGUAUCUGUGAAAGAAAUAUAAAAGGUACAAGAGCUCCUCCAUAAGCUAUUGUGAUGUAUGUCCAGAACACUUUAAGUCCAAUUGUACCCUUUUCCCGUUCUUCAUCUUGAACAAGUUGGCCUUUCUGUUCAACUGUGUAAUCUAACUUGCCAUUUCGAUCAUCUAUGUUUUCCACUUCAUGCUCAAGUUCAAAAUCACUUAAUAAACCUGUGUCUUCCCCAGUAAUACUCGAUUCUUUAAAUGUAUUCCUUCUCUCUAAGGACUUUACUGAAGACAAUGCUGCUCUAUGUGCACCUACAAGUUCCAUAAACUCUGUUCCGGACGUAAGAAGGUCAUUGUAUUUUCCUGAUUGAAUUAUCCUUCCAUCUUUCAUGACCUAAUAUGAGUUGUAAGAAAGAGAAACGUACUAAUAAAACAGUAGGCUAUAGUGUUUGAAACUUUGAAUUCAUGAGCAUGAUGAAAAUAUAAAUCACUCACCAGUAUCAGAUCAGCAUCAGGCAAGAACUCUACUUGAUGUGUUAUGUAUAUCACAGUUUUUGUUUUCAGAAGGUUAAGCAAACACUCCUGAAACAUUACAGUAGUAAAUGUGCAGUUAGACAACAAACUUUUCAACCAAAAGCAUAAUUAAACUAGUGAAAUUAUGUUUGAAGAUUGAAGGAUAUCAUAUAUUACAGCAGUAAGAACAAUCCAAAUCCCUGAUUUAAUGAUGUUAUAACUGUAUCUGUUAAAACAAAAACCCUGGUUAAAAAUUAAAAAAAAAACAGAAAACAAAAAAAAAACUCGCCGUGUUAAGUCAAUUGUGCCUAUGUUCCAACUGCAGAAGCAGCUGCAACACCUUUGUUUUGUUGAAAGUUAUGGUUUACAGCAUAGAACUUGUGUUUAAAUAUCACGGUCCAUUUUACAGGAAUACCCUUGAACUGCUCGAGCAACCUGCCCACUUCUGAGUAAACUGUGAGCCAUACCCAACAACAUCUAUGGGCAAAAUAUACUACUGAUUUGGUAUCUAGAUCGGAAACAUAAAAUUCCAUGAAAUUUAGCAUUCUCAAAUUACUUUAUCAUGAAAAGACAACAACAAACUGUAUUGAAAACCGUAGAGUUUAGAAAAUAGUACCUUAAAGAGAUGGGAUCCUGUAUGAGCAUCAACAGCACUAAAGGGAUCAUCGAGCAGAUAUAUAUCAGCAUCUUGGUACAGAGCACGAGCUAUUUGUACUCUUUGCUUCUGUCCACCACUCAAAUUGAUUCCCUUUUCUCCAAUAAUGGUCUGAUCACCGAAUGGUAAAACCUCUAAGUCUUUAUUCAAUGAACAUGCAUCUAGUACCCUCUCAUACUUUUCCCUAUCCAUUUCUCUACCAAAGAGUAUAUUUUCUUCUAUCUUCCCACUCUGUAUCCAUGGCGAUUGAGCAACAUAAGCCUUUGUUCCACACACCUUCAAGGUUCCAGAUAGCUUUGGCAUUUCCCCUAUUAUACAAGUAAGUAAACUAGACUUUCCUGAUCCAACAGUACCACAAACUGCAACCCUCAUUCCAUGAGAAACUCUAAGAUUUAUGUUUUUCAACGUUGUAUUGACAGAAGAUAAAUCCCAACUGAAAUUUCCAUAUUCAAUUUCAAUUGCUAUAUCAGAACUACUGCGUGGAAGUUUUUCCACUACAUCGGCCUGCAAAUCAUCUAGACGAAGAAACGCAGCAAUCCUAUCUACAGAAACCUUGGUUUCUGCAAUCACUGAAAUUGUGUCGGGAAGACUAUAAAUAGGCAGUUGAAGAAUUCUGAAUGUUGCAAGUGCAGAUAAGAUCUUUCCUGAUUCAAGUGGAAUGCCUAUAAGAACACAAGUACCAAAAGUAACCACAGCAAUAAAUGUUGGCGCAUUAAAAAACAGAAAUCUAACAAUUGCUGAACCAACAAGAAAUUUCUUUAGCCAAAUCUCCUCUAACUUCCUAAUCUGAAUGAUCUUUGAUAAGAACUUCAUCUCCCACGCUUGCAGUUUGAGAAUCCUCAUGUUCAUUAGAAUCUCAGACGUCGCCUUCAUUCUUUUAUCUUUGAACUCCAUUAACUUACCUUGGAAUUUCUCUUGCAAUGAUGCGAUAGGAUGGUUUAGCAACAUCACAACUACGGUGGCGGCAAAAGUAGCUACUGAAGCAACCCCUACACUUNNNNNNNNNNNNNNNNNNNNNNNNNNNNNNNNNNNNNNNNNNNNNNNNNNNNNNNNNNNNNNNNNNNNNNNNCCUAUCCUUUCAGCAUCAACCGUCAAUAAGUUGAUGAUUUCGCCGCUACUGUGUUCCGCUUUCGAUUGACACGAAAGAGUCAAACCUUUAGUAUAGAUCAUUGACACCAACAUUGAUUGCAUCUGAACACCAACCUGUUGGAUCUUAAAUAUAAAGUGCUUCUGACAAAGAGAGUCGACAAGAUUUGCCGCAACAAACAUCAUAGCCAAAAUAUAGCCUUCAUUUUUAGCUUUGUUUUCAUCAUUGAGGUAUUGCACAAAAUUGUCUAUAAGGUAGGGUCCAACAUAAGAAGCACAUACGAACAAGAAUGCAAAAAAGCCAGAUAGAAGAAUCCCUUGCCAAGUUGAGAAGAACAAAACCUUGGUGAGGUUAAUAGUGGUCAAAUUCCUAACAUUACCACACUCCAACUCAAGCUUUUUUUUAAAAGUUGAAAAAGUUCCAUAGGCACUGUCGUUAGUAGAAAGCAGUGGAAGGUCUUCAUGGUCUAAAGUCUUUUUACUGCCUAAAGUUAUUAGUGGACUCAUCCAUGAGAAAGUAAGAAUGCUGAAAAAUCCAGCAUUUGAAUAACAGGAUUUUAGUGUGUUUUUGGCAUCAGAAUCCUUGUUUACACUAGCUUCACCAUUCAAAAGGGACUCUUCAAGAGGGCCAAGUUUAGUCAUAUUGCUAACAGAAUAUCCAAUAUAACAAAGAAUGACCUGUAAUAGAGGAACCUUUAUCAGAAACUAAUUUUUUUAACCUGAGUCUUUUAACUCCUUCAAAUCCUUUAUCCCCUAGUUUAAACUAGUUGAGCUACCCAUCCCCCCAUCCGAAACAAUAUGAUUGGCAAAAAACAUACUUUCCAUAGAUUACAAAGUCUGCAACAAGGCAACAUGAAUACACAAAAGCAUAGACCAGGCACAAAAUUCUCAAGAAACAUGGGAAACUCAGUUUCUAUACACAAUUUAAAUAAACACAUACAGAGUAACUAUUUUUGUAGCGAAAUCCAAAAUUGUGAUAAGCUCCUUAUAACCAUCAUGCUCAUAUCAUGGAAGGUAGUUUAGUAAGCACAAUACAAGGUUAGACACACAAAUAAUGAAGCAAAUUAUGAGUGUGUAUUGUUUAGAGUGGUAAGUGACAUGGAUACCUUUAACAAGUGGUCAGAAGUUCAAAUCCUAGCUUUAUACAUGAAAAAAAUCCAUAUAGGAGAAUCCACCUUGUGUGUUCAACCGCUGACAAAUAUCAAUCAAUGAUAAACGAUGUAAUUAAUUCGGACAUAUAACAUGGGUCAAAAAAUAAUAAAUAGUUUGAGUUUGUAGUACAAGAAACAAGGAUUAUGGAAUGAAUUUCUUUAACUCUUUUCUAUUUGGUCUAAAAGAACUUACUCCCAUACAUACCCAUGACACAACCAGCAGGUGAAGUGAAGAAUAUAUCCUACCUGUGAAAAUGGGUUGAAGGAGAUAAUCAGUUCCAAGGUGAAUAGUGGAGGAAUAGUACUGAGAGAAGAGUUUACCUUAAAUAAAGAAACAAGUUGGAGCGUAAUGGUUGACUUGUUGACUUUACUCUAAAGCAAGAGUUCUGAUUUGUGAUCACAAUUAAUUGAGUGAGACAUGUAAGUAGGGUCUUUGAUAAAAGAUAUGUGGAAUUCUGUUCUGUGAUCACAAUUAAGUAGUGUGACGCAUAAGUAUGGUCUUUGGGAAAGAUGUUGAUGAUGUUGAUUUCCAAGCAGGACUUUUCUCACAGCAUCACAUCACCACCUAACAACUUGUUUAGUGCUAUAUUUAUUUUAACUUUAUUGGACCUUCCUUUUACAUGUAAACCAGUUAUACUAAACUUAAUUAAUUCUUUACUACUUUUCCUUAAAUUCAAUCAAACUUUACAAUAAUGAGAAAAAUUCAAAUUUUUGUUUUAAUACCAGUUUACAACAAACUUGUAAUAAUUAAAGUAAAUGUCACUUUCGAUUACGUAUUACAUUUAAGUUUCAGAUACUUCCAAGUUACAAACAUAAACUACAUUAUUCUUAAAUUUCAUAAGCUUAUUACAAGUUAUAACUUCUAUUCUACUUUAAUUUCUAUAAAGUUUGAGGUCUCAACUUCCAAAACCAGUGUUUGACCUCCUUGUGUAUUCUGCAACUAGUUGAGCAAGAGAUGAAGAUUUGUCCUUAAGCAGCUUCUUUGGUGAAUCAUAUUCUUCAAUAAGACCUGUAUGAUCAAUAUGAAGAAAAAUCAUGUUCACAUUUGUUUGAGUAAAAUAAGAUGAAAUAAAGAAGCAGCGAAAAAACCAGGAUUCUUACCUUCGCUGAGAAACAGAACCAUGUCACUGUCGAGGAUUGAAGUUAUUCUAUGAGCAAUGGUAAUAACUGUGCAAUCAGUGAAAUGUUGAUUAACUGUCUGCUGAAUUAUAGUAUCUGUAGCUGUAUCAACUGAUGCAGUCGCUUCAUCGAGCACCAAGAUCUUGCUUUUCUUAAGUAGAACACGGCCGAGGCAUACCAACUGUCUUUGACCCAUGCUCCAAUUUUCUCCAUUCUCAGUAACUGCAAAACUCAUGAUUCAUGAUGUAAUUUAAUACAUUGCAAAAAAUUGGAUUGACUUCUAACACUUGCUAUAAACUUCCUCCGUUCCAUAUUAAGCGACAUUUAAGUUAUAUUCACAACCAUUAAGAAAAAUCGUUAACAAGUGUUGAGUAGUCAAACCUGUGGAGUCUAGCUUUCCUUCUUUCUUCCUCACUUCAUCUCCAAGUUGGCACAUAUCUAGAGCCUAAAAUAUUCCAUAAAAUAUAUAAAUUUGUAUAACUUGCAUUAAAGGAAUCAGUAAUUUCUUAUUGUCAUACACAACCAAUUUACCUCCCAAAUCUGUUCAUCUGUGUACUCUUCGAGCGGGUCCAAGUUGCUUCUUACUGUCCCAUGAAACAUAGUUGGAUCCUGAGGAAUUAUGCUUAAUCUUGACCUUAAAUCAUGGAUUCCAAUCAAUGAGAUGUUGAUCUUAUCUAUCAAUAUUUGUCCUGCAACAGGUUCAACAAGUCUGAAAAGUGUUUGCACUAGUGUUGAUUUUCCACUUCCUGUUCUUCCAACAAUGCCAGUUUUUGCUCCAGCAGUAAAAGUGCAUGUUAGUCCACGUAAAACAAGAGGCAAGUGAGGAGCAUAUUGAACCUGU